rnacentral:rRNA from 1 species
CCCUUAGAUGUCCUGGGCCGCACGCGCGUUACACUGAUGCAUUCAACGAGCUUAUAACCUUGGCCGAGAGGCCUGGGCAAUCUUGUUAACGUGCAUCGUGAUAGGGAUAGAUUAUUGAAAUUAUUAAUCUUGAACGAGGAAUUCCUAGUAAACGCAGAUCAUCAAUCUGCAUUGAUUACGUCCCUGCCCUUUGUACACACCGCCCGUCGCUCCUACCGAUCGAAGAGUUAGGUGAAUUGUUUUGAUCGAUAAGAUUUGACUAUGGUCAACUCUCGUUGGGAAAUUCUGUGAAUCUGACUGUUUAGAGGAAGGAAAAGUCGUAACA